GCGCAGAAGUGAUUUAUUAGCAAAGAACCAAUCCCGAGUGACGGCUAUGACGCGAUGCACUGCGGGCCAAUCACCGCUUUAGCCCGCCCCCGCGCCUCACUUCAUACCACAAAAGGGACCCAAUAAAUUACUUCUGCGCAGGUGAAGGUCAGAGCUCAAGAUUCGUGCCGAUGAUUAUACUGUACUGUUUUUGACCGACUCCCAAAAUAAGAGGUUCUAAAUAAGUUUGACCAUUUUUAAGUGUUAAAGGACAAUGCUCAUGAAAUAUGAGAAAAAAACCCAGGCCCGGCGCAAAAGAAAUGUAACUCAAAAUAUAGAUAAAAAUAAGUAAUUAAAUAUUACAUAGGGGGCAUUAUCGAAAUCAGUGGCUAUAUGUGUGAAAUUGCUAUUCGAAUUUUAGCAUCUGCGGUACAUUGCUACUCGAGAUUUUAGAGGUAACAUAGUGUAUUAGUAAAAGGAACAGCAAACAGAUACAGUUGUGGUUUAAGAGUGUACAUAAUGACAGGUUUAUAGCAACUUCUCCACUAUUCUACCUACUUUUUCAAGAUAAUAGGAUGAUAGAACUAAAACAGGAUAUGAAUGUACUUUUCAUUUUAAUAAUAACGCGUAAAAGUCAUCGAUUAUUUAUUUCUAACACGACGAGAUCCAAAAAUGUUGCGGGAUGCGCGAACUGUUCCUCAUGUCUAGCCCACCCUAAGUAAUGUAAAACGCUCAUGACGCGAUGACGUGGGCGCUGCAGCCUGUACUUCGGUAUUGAUUUAUCUUUUUGGAGAAGCUUAUUACUUGCCAUAUUACUUGUUUGUUGUUUCAGAUAGCACUUUAAUUAAACAAUAAGCCCCAGCUGCUCAUGUUACCCCUUUAAAAAAUCAAAUAGCAAUUUCAUACAUUUAGCCAUUGAUUUCGAUGAUGCCUCCUAUGCAGUAUUUCAUUACUUAUUAUUACCUAUAAUUUGAGUUACUUUUCAUUUGCGCCGGGCUUGGGUUUUUUUUGAGCAUUGUCCUUUGUGUGUGGAUUACCUCACGUUUGGUUGAACCGAUUUUGGUGAGGUUUUCAGUACAUUAUUUAUCAGUUUUAGGUUAAUAUUUGGAGUCGGUAUGAUUUUUCUGGAAUUAUAAUCAUAUUUUGGUGAAGUCCUGUUGAUCGGGAUAUUAAGAUGAUGUGUGAUAGUUUGGCAGUUAAAUUAUUGUGAAAUUUUUAUUUUUAUUGAUUUUUAAGGGUAUUUACCCAGAAUAAUAAGUAAGGGUAAUCACCCCCAAAAAUGGGUAAAUACCUCUAAAUAGUUGUUUUAUGUAGUGAGAAAAAAAUUGGCUAGUUUCUUAAUUUUAUUAUUAUUGAAAAAUAUACCUACUUAAUCUGAUCGUUAAGUAUGUUAAAAAGUGACUUGUGUUAAUUUUGAAAGAAAAAUUCCGUAUCCAAGUAUGUUAAAUAGGUACAGUUUCAAAUAAUUUUGGCAUUCUGAACUUAGCUGCGCAAAAGUCAAACUAUAUUCAAUGUAUGAAAAUGUCCUCCUAGCCAAUUCGGUCGCGGCAGCUGUUCUCAUAUAAGGAGAUCAGCCAGCUGCGCAGGACAUAUUAUAGUGCACGAGCAUUUGCGCAGACACAGGUGCACUCACUAUACCUCAAUAAUGUUUGUAUCAAAUGGCUGACUAUAGAAAGGCAUAAUUAUUUGAUGAAAUCUGUACCAAUUUGUUCCUAUUAAUGUAUGUAUUUUUAAUGGAUAUAACGGUUGAUUUAUAUAAUUCAACUAUCCAAACUUAUAUUAUAAAUGCGAAAGUAACUCUGUCUGUCUGUCUGUCUUUUCUUCACGCCUAAACUACUGAACCGAUUUGUGUGAAAUUUGGUACAGACAUAGUUUGAAACUUGAGAAAGGACAUAGGAUAGUUUUUAUUACAAAAAAGAAAAAAAAUUAUUCCGGACAUAUAGCGCCAUCUAUUGGUCAAAUCAAAAAUCUGCUGGUAGUCACUAUUCCACGCGAACGAAGUUGCGGGCAAAAGCUAGUUUGUAGGAUAAAUACUAUAAUUUGACAUAUUUUUUCUUUAAAAAAUCAGUAAAUGGUUAUAAGAUAUAAUAUGACAUUAAAGGUAUCUGCUAUUUUGUAACCGACUUUCCAAAAAGAAGGUUUUAAAUUUGACCGCGUAUUUUUUCUUUCUUUAGGUAGUUCCCAACUAUUAUUAAAAAGAAAAUUCCCAUGACAUAAUUGUGUGCUCAAAAAAAAAGUAUUUUAUUGAUAACAUGUAUUAUGAUUAUUCGACUAAAUUUUCUAUAGCUUUAGUCGACUCUUUAGUUUUUAAACGAAAAGUAAUUUCUUUUAUAUUAUUUUUUAGAUAUUUUUCUUUUAUUAAUAUUUUUUUUGGGUUUUUUAUUAUAUUUUAGUCUAAGUGCAAAACCAUGGACUCGAAGCUAACCAUGUCAGACUUGAGGUUCUGACUUCUGACAAAGAUUUAAAUGAGUUUUUCUAUGCUUCAAUGAACGGUUUAAUAAUUAAUAAAAGCAAAUUUAUAAUUUUGAAAUGUAUUAAGUUGUGUAUUGACUAUUAAUUUAAGUUAUUUACAUACAAAUAUGAAUUUUGCUUGCAGUGUGUGAGAAAAAUAGUUUAUACGUAGUUUUAAAAAUAAAUCACUCCAUAGAUUUUAUUAUAAACUAAAUAAUAAUAAGUGAUAAGUAUUGAACGUUUUAAAUUGAAUCAAACUAAGCUUCCCGUCACGCCUUAGUAAUUUUAUAAAUUGAAGAAUUUUAGUCGACUAUUUAAUUUUAGGCGAUUUUUUUCGAGUCACUAAACGUAUAAGUUGAUUUUUAAAAUAAGCAUUAAUUUAUAAUUUUUUGUAAGUUUUAUAAUUUGUGUAUGAUUAUUUUUUAUAAUAUUAUCGCCUAAAAUAUUAUUCGAAUAGUCGACUAAAAUUUAUUCGAUCAACACCAAAGCUUGAUGAGUCAAAAAUUAUCAAUUAGUGAAACGAGGUGCUAUGAAAUUGUUAAAUUAAAUUUUAAAAUAUUAUAAUUGUAAUAAAAAUGUCUGCUUAUAAGCUUGUUUGUAGGACAUUUCAAAAUAUAAUUUUCAUUGUCUUUAAUAAAUAAAAGUAUUAAAAUAAUUAUAUAAAGCAGCUCUUUAAAAAUUCUUAAUAUUUUUCACGCUAUGCAAUCUUUAGAAGAUGCGCUUUAGGAUAAAAAAUACUAUUAUGAAAAAUUCAAAACACAAUUUUUGUCUUCAAGUAGAUAUUGUGUGACUUACACUCCUUACUAUAUUGCAAUAAUUUGUUCUAAGAUUCUAUCCAAGUUUUAUGAAGUUUUAAAAUCAUUGAAUUAUAUUUAAAAUCUCCAUUAUCAUCAUCUGCCUAGCCUUUUCUCAACUCGGUUCGUGGCAGCGGAGUACCAGUGUGCCACAUGGAGCGACUGCCUAUCUGACCUCCUCAACCCUGUUACCCGGGCACGAUACCCCUUGGUAAGGCUGGUUGUUGGUUCUUGACUUCUCGUAACGACUGCCAAGGAUGUUAAAUGACAACCCUGACCCACAAAUUUACGGCCUUCCGAAACACGCAGGAACUUGUUCUGUCAAGCACCCAUCCACGGAGCGUCCGCGCCAAGCGGUGCUUAACCUUGUGAUCGAUUGACCCGUGCGGCUGUUACUAAGUCAUGAGCACUUCCUUCUAAAAUAAGGUAAUAGACUAGUCAUUUCUAUGGUCUAUUGAUAUGGUUUUACAACUUCAUAAAUCAUUUUUUCCAGAAAACUGUCUCGCAAUGUAGAUUACCAUAAAGAUCAAGUUUUUAAGACUGUUGUCAUUCUAAUAGGUUUAGUAUAGUUAUGUAUAACUCCACUGUGUAAAUAAACAUUGCCUUUAU